UAUUGGUCAAUGGGCGGGAGCCUGAACCAGCCAAGUCGCGUGAGGGAUUAAGGCCCUACGGGUCGUAAACCUCUUUUGCCGGGGAGCAGGGCGGCGGACGUGUCCGCCGUUCGAUAGUAGCCGGAGAAAAAGCAUCGGCUAACCACGUGCCAGCAGCCGCGGUAAUACGGAGGAUGCGAGCGUUAUCCGGAUUUAUUGGGUUUAAAGGGUGCGUAGGCGGGCUUUUAAGUCAGCGGUAAAAAUUCGGGGCUCAACCCCGUCCGGCCGUUAGAACUGGGGGCCUUGAGUGGGCGAGAAGAAGACGGAAUGCGUGGUGUAGCGGUGAAAUGCAUAGAUAUCACGCAGAACCCCGAUUGCGAAGGCAGCCUUCCGGCGCCCUACUGACGCUGAGGCACGAAAGUGCGGGGAUCGAACAGG
rnacentral:rRNA from 1 species